rnacentral:rRNA from 1 species
AACGAACGCUGGUGGCGUGCUUAACACAUGCAAGUCGAACGAGAAAGUUUCCUUCGGGAAAUUAGUAAAGUGGCGCAAGGGUGAGUAUCACGUGAAUAAUCUGCCCUCGAGAUCGGAAUAACAUGGUGAAAACUAUGCUAAUGCCGGAUAAGACCACAUUUCAUAAGAAAUGCGGUAAAAGGAGUCUCAAUCUUCACUUGAGGAUGAGUUCGCGCAACAUUAGCUUGUUGGUGAGAUAAAAGCUCACCAAGGCUACGAUGUUUAGCCGGCCUGAGAGGGUGAACGGCCACACUGGAACUGAGACACGGCCCAGACUCCUACGGGAGGCAGCAGUGGGGAAUAUUGGACAAUGGGGGAAACCCUGAUCCAGCAAUGCCGCGUGAGUGAAG